CUCCAUGCACUGGGAGCCCAACGUGGGAUUCGAUCCCGGAUCUCCAGAAUCACGCCCUGGGCCAAAGGCAGGCGCCAAACCGCUGCACCACCCAGGGAUCCCUAAUCCUAAAUUCUUAAAAACAGAUCUCAAAUUCCAUCUAAUCCAGUUAAACAGCCCAGGGACCAAUUUUAGACUUAUAAUAACAGGCCCCAAUACUGGGUCCCUAACUCUGACAUCCAUGAAAUCUUGGACAUAGGUAUUUCACACUAAUUAUGAGAAGGAGGAAGCCACGUUGGUUUUGAGUUCCUUUACUAUCGUGGAUGCUUUGUUAGAGGUGCUGUGUGCCCAGAGUUUCCCCCAAAUGUAGGACACAACCCUGCACAUUAUCUGAGGCUAGCCUGUCAGGAAUUCAUGUGAAGAUUAUAAUUUCCUUCUCCUGGAACCUUGGCCUUCCUGAAGACAGUCCCAGUUUUGGAGGCCUUGUUCCCUAUGGCAGCCACUGCACCCUAAGACUGGAGUGAACCACAUUCUAUAAUUUCUUUCUUCCUAGGUCAGUACUAGUAAAUCCCUUCCUGUCCUGAAUUUCUAUGGUUGUAUCUGUCAACCUCUAUCAAGACUGAUACUAUGUGAGACCUCACCUGCUACUACUCAGGCAGGGUUUCUUUGGUCUCACUUCGCUAUCCACUGAACAGCUUUCCGUUCUUUCUCUGAUCCAGCCAUAUAAUGAAGCAGGCUGUAUUUUCAUGUAAAAAGUGAUGGCAGUAUUAGGGUUAAUGUUAAUGGCAUGCUACUUGUGAUCACUCUUUGGAUACAGCAUCCACUUAGUUCCCAUUCCAUCUUGUCCAUAAUGACAAGAGUCACAAUCAAGUGCAUUGCUCAUAACUAGGCACUGCAUCUGUGUCAUCUCUACCAACAGCUUUAUCAAAGGAGGAAAAAAAUAAAGGGAACGGUAGACCCUAUUCAAAGGUAAUUUACAUUUACUGAACAUUUAUAAAUGCUUCUAUUUACAUUUUACUUAUAGUUACAUUUUAUAAUAUAAAAUACAUGGAACUUUUUAGUGAUUUAUCUGCCUUCUGUUCACCACAGACAAUUCUCAGACCACCCUGUAACAUGACCUUUAUUACCUUCUCUUCAAGCUCCAGGGGUAAGAGAAAGAAAUGUAGUAAUAGAGUUUAAUAUAGGAUCACAAUCAAUCGGUCAAGCAACUAAUGCCCUUCAAAGCUUUGGUCACAAUGUGGGAUAGAUGUUAAAACUGAACAUGAGAAGAUUAACAGCCUCUCACUGGGAAUUUUAAAUGGAGCCAAGAGUAACCUCAACAGGGACCCAAGUGCUGAUGAGAUUUAUGUCACAAGUGAACAUGUAUUUCAGUGUAUGUCUGUAUUUCAUUUAAUUCCCCAAGCAUUAGAAUAGGAAAAGCAUACACAAAUACCAAAUGUAAGCCUAUUCCUAGACUUGGGAGACUAGAUCCUUUCUAUUCAACCAGGAGGAUGCUACUCACCUGCUCUCCUAGAGACUGAUCUAAGAAUUUGGAAUGCAACUGAUGGCAAGAGGCUAGGGAGAUACUUUUCAUCUGUGAAAACAAAGUGGACAUUGGCAGACACAAUGCAGGCAUUUCUCAUUGUUCUUAAAAACUCCAAGUCACUAACCAUUAUAGUAAACUAGGUGCUAGAUUUUGACUUGUAUAGGUCUGGAGAAGGGAGUUCCACGACCAGAAAGAAACUGUCACUGUUUCCUUCUACCUGCCCCAAGUACAUUAGCCCCACCCGCCCCCAAAAGGGGGAAUACUUUCAAGCUCUGGGGCAAUACAGAUAAUCCCUCAGGUUAUCAGUAGAAAACUUGACAACAUCCUAAUAUAUUUUUUUCCUUCUUUACUUCCCUUCCAUCUUCUCAUUCAGUGUUUACGGAGUUGCCACUAUGAGUCACGCAUUGUUUUAGGCCCCAGGAAAUCCAAGAUGGAUAUAACAUGGUCUCUAACAUUUCCAUGAACAUGAUCUCAUUUACAAGGCAGGACAGACAAUAUCAAUUUCAUUUAAAAAUAUGUAUUUUUUUUAGUACUGAUAAUCUGAAGCGGUAAAAAAAAAACAAAAACAAAAAAACAAAAAACAAAUCAUAGAAGAUGAAUGUUCUAAAUAAGACUGACAGUUUACAAAUUCUCUUUGGAAAGCCUUGGCCUUGAGGCCCACCCUUCUCUAGUGCCCACUACUCCUAUAGGAUCCAUGUGCAACAAGUCAGAUGUAAGAGUUUCUGCCGAGGGCCAACCCCAAGACGGUUACAAGAAGCAGAAUGAACAUCCCACACCGACCUCAAAGAAAGGAUACCAACCUUCUGCCCUUAGCAAAUUAAUCUGGAAAAAAUUUUGACUUAGACCACAAAGGACAAUGGGGACAACUAUGACUCUGAUGGGGGAGAUUUUCACUGACCAAACCAUAACUGAGCAACAGGAUGGAUUCUGCUGUCAUUUCUUGAUUCACAAUUAAUCCUGCGAUGAUUCGGCGCAAGGUUUCAUGAACCUUCCGGGCCAGUUUUAAACUUGUGGUAUUUUGUAAGACCUAAAGGCAAACAUAAAAAUCAGGCUGAGGUGAUACAGAACUGCAUUUUCAUUUGUUGUAAUGGUAGUUUUUAAAACAGACAUUUGCUUUUUAAUAUUUUUUCCUAAUUAAAAAAGAAACAUUCUUAAUAAGAAAUUUCAAACAGAGCAUACAAAGUAUUAAUCUACAUGUAACAUCAAUCCCAGAGACAACCACUGUCUACAGCCUGGGGAUUUCUUGCACUCCCUCCUAUGCUCUCUGCUGGAGACACCUGAGGAUCUAGGGCUGGAGAUCUGAUGUGACACUUGGAAGAUGUCACUCUCCUCAUGCAUCACAGGCAAACACACACACAUAUACGACAGUGACAAGAUUCAGUCACUACUCCUCUGAAACCAUGCUAAUAAAGUGCUGAAAUGGCCACGCCUCAGGGUUGGAUAUUAGUAAUUGGGCCAAAUCAGAGGAACUCAAUGGCAAUCUAGGACCAUCAACCCCAAAAGAAACCUCAGCACUUUAUUUGCUUCCCACAGGACACAGUAUUACUUACUUUCAUUACCUUGGAGGGAUUUGAUAAUAUACACAGAAGAUUCAUAUGCUCUGUUGACUCUUUUUCAUCCUCAAAACAUAGCUAACAUUCUUAGGUUUAGUAAGAUUAAUGCAUUCUAGGAACAAUUAUGGAGUUAAUCUCACACCAAAACAUUUGGAAUUAUGGCUAAUUUAUGUCAUUAAAUAGUGCUAGUUUUAGUACAUAAAAUUGUAAUAAAAGGAAUUAAUAACAUUUAUUGAAUGACCACCCCUGCAUCAGGCAGAGAACAUUAUGAAGGUAAGUAAACUAUAGUCUCCACCCAAUAGGAGGCAGAAUGAAAACAGUGCAGAACUUUGGAACAGAAAGAUCUACGACUAAAUCCUUACCUUCCUACUUAUCCACGAAUCUUCUAUCUUUCUGAACCCGUAUUUUCUUAUCUGUUAGUUAGAUGGAUAUACUACUGAUCUCAGAGUGGUUGUGUGGAUUAGAAGUGAUAAUGAAACACAGUGCUCAGAACAUAAUACAUGUUCAACCACUGUCAAGAGGGAGAAGAUCUGGCAUUGACAGCAACCUGGGAGUAGCAAUGUGACUCCACCAAAAGCUGUGUUCUAGCUGCUGACUUGACUCAGCUAUAAAAUUCA